UACGUAGGUGGCAAGCGUUGUCCGGUUUACUGGGCGUAAAGAGCGCGCAGGCGGUUGGAUAAGUCGAAUGUGAAAGCCCCCGGCUCAACUGGGGAGGGUCAUUCGAUACUGUCCGACUCGAAGGCAGGAGAGGGAAGCGGAAUUCCCGGUGUAGUGGUGAAAUGCGUAGAUAUCGGGAGGAACACCAGUGGCGAAGGCGGCUUUCUGGCCUGUU
rnacentral:rRNA from 1 species